GGAGGAUUCGCCUAGUGGCCUAGGGCGCACGCUUGGAAAGCGUGUUGGGGGCAACCCCUCGCGAGUUCGAAUCUCGCAUCCUCCGCC
rnacentral:tRNA from 1 species